CUCGGGGGACGCCCGCACAAAAUGGCGGCCGCUAGCUGGCGGUCACGUGCGCAUCGCGGUAGGGCGGGUAGCGCUAGGUGGGGGUCGUGCUGCGCCCGGGUAUUUGUGUCGUGAGUUUACCUACGUUUGUUCUCCCGGGUAACAGCGAUAGGAUGAGAGGUAACGGCCUCAAGUUGCACCGGGUUCAGGUUGCGUAUGAGGAGAAAUUUCUUCUCAGGAAGAGUGAUGAUGUCUUGUAAGUUACAGUAGCUAAAUAGAACGUGAGGCUUGUGGGUGGGGGUCUCUGUGGUAAUCUUGUGUGUUUCUGCUGGCAGUGGGUCGGUGCAGCUGCGUGCCAGAACUAAAUCCCCGCCCUUGGGGUUUUCCCAGGGAGUGCUCUGCCACACAGGCUUCGUGUUGUCACUGGAUUAAAAAUAGAGUUCCCUCUUGGUUCUGUUGAGCAGCAGUUUAAGGUUUAUUGAUGCCAUGAGGUAAAUAAAAGGGUUGGAUUUUAACAAAACUUUGUCGUUAGCCGCUUUGAAGAUUAAUAAAGCAAGUUAGUGAAAUAUGUGGUAACUAAAUGAUGACUUGAUUACAGAUUUGUGGAUGACAAGGUUCACACUAAACAACAGGGUGUCUUAAAUUGAUGUGCAUGUACAGAUGCAAAGCACACUCUUACAGAUGUACUGAAAUAUGUGGCUCCUGUGAGAUAUCUCAGCACCCGUGCUUGUGAAACGUGUCUCAUUAAAGCAUAUAUAAGAAAUGAGGUGGCUGGGAGAAGAAUGAGCUUAGCUUAUAGUUAAAACUUCCUUCUACUCAAAUUUAGAGCAGAUUCUUGCAAUAUACUGUUAUUCUUCUACCAGCACUAAUUGAGGCUGGCUACAAUAGGAUGUCUGGCAUCCAUCCAUGGAUGGCCUUGAGGAUCUGGAGGACCUGAGAGGUGCCCCAACCUGGGGGAGAUGCUGGUCACAGCUUGUUGUGAUCCAGAAGAGUUCUAAGGGUUUCUCUUACCUUGGGAGCAUAAAUAGUUAUUUUAUUUGACUUUUGUCAGGUACUUUUCCAUACCAGCCCCCUUGGAUGGCAAAAAAUAUUCUGGUACUUCUGACCAGUUAUGCAAUGCCCAGAGCUUGCUGGAUUCAUGAAUUCUGUGCUACCUGCCUUAGCCUGUGAUCCAGAUACAGAUGUACUGGGCUGUCAGGAGAUAAUCCAUCCCAGGUGAUGAGAGGAAAAGCAAAUACAUGGAUAUGAUAAAGGGAUGCCUUUAUGCUCUAAUCUGCUGUUUAUUGCAAUUUACAGGAUAGCAGGGGCCAGGCACAAGGAAUGUCUUCAGGUGCUGGUCCUUUACCUUUCACCAUUUAUGCCAAGAUUGGCUUGUUGCCUAAGGAAAGGGAUUACACCAAGCAUGGAGGGGCCUAAUAUAAAGGUGGGGGGCAGUUGAACCACCCCACUCAGGAAAUAUGCUCAGUUAAUGCCAAUCAUUAAAGGAAGUGGAAGCUAUGACUUCACAUUACUGUUGUUCACUCCUCUCCUUUUCUCCUAUGGUUGAUAACGUUUGUGACCAUAAUUGAAUUACAAGUGUCUUGGGAAAUUUUUUUGAAGAUUCCCAGCACACUGCAAGUCUGCCUCCUGUGCAAGGAGGACAUAAUAGUAGUGGAGGUAAUUAAUGCUGAACUUCUUCCAGCUGAGAAUCCUAAGCAGAAGGUAUCAUUACACUUGAGGAGGCACAAGGUUGUGCUUCCUGGUAACCACAGAGCUGAUGUAUAUUUGGAGAUCUCUCCUCUGUUUGGAUGACACAAUGUAAAACUAGUUACUUACUACAAGGAGCAUACCAUUAUCUCAGACACGUUCUGAUUCUUCAUUGAAAGAAAUAGCAUGCUUUCUUGCCUCGGUGUUGAAUAUCUGUGUUAAGCACUCAUUUACAUUAACUGAAACAGUAAAAAAAAGCUUAAAAGAAAGGAAAACUUACUCAUUUGGUUUUGGACAUCUUCUUCACACUUGCUUUCUUUACAUCAGUUUCCAAAAAAAAAAAAAAAGAAGCUUUGAACUUUGGUUUCAAAACAGUCAAAGGUCCAGGCAAAGUAACCCAUUCCCGAAAGAUUUUGGUCUGAACCAAGUAAUCAACUCAACCUAUGUCAUGGAAUUUGAGGAUGGUUCAGCUGUUAUGGAAGCCCUGGCUGCAAGCACAGAAAAAGCAUCCAAAUAGACAAUUGCUUUCAGAGAUUUUACAUCUUUAAUCACAAGGUUGGUGUUUCUGGAUUUAAGGCUUGUCUAGGCUGGCUUCUGUUUCAUUCAGUAUUUACUUUUAGCUGGGUAGUAGAAUAGGCAUGGAGCCUACGCUCCUUCUCUGACACCAAGUCCUGGAAAGGUUAAUAAUGUGUUAAAUAAUCUGUUAUAAAAUAAACUCAUAAGAAAAAGUGGGAGGACAGUCUCUAUUUGCCAAAUUAUUUUUCUUCACUGUAGAUAUUUCAAUCUAGAUGGUUGGAAAAACUCUGACUAAUGGACAGU
ensembl:lncRNA